rnacentral:rRNA from 1 species
CCGCGGUAAUACGGAGGGUGCAAGCGUUACUCGGAAUCACUGGGCGUAAAGGACGCGUAGGCGGAUUAUCAAGUCUCUUGUGAAAUCCAAUGGCUUAACCAUUGAACUGCUUGGGAAACUGAUAAUCUAGAGUGAGGGAGAGGCAGAUGGAAUUGGUGGUGUAGGGGUAAAAUCCGUAGAGAUCACCAGGAAUACCCAUUGCGAAGGCGAUCUGCUGGAACUCAACUGACGCUAAUGCGUGAAAGCGUGGGGAGCAAACAGGAUUAGAUACCCUGGUAGUCCACGCCCUAAACGAUGUAUACUAGUUGUUGCUGAGCUAGUCUUGGCAGUAAUGCACCUAACGGAUUAAGUAUACCGCCUGGGGAGUACGGUCGCAAGAUUAAAACUCAAAGGAAUAGACGGGGACCCGCACAAGCGGUGGAGCAUGUGGUUUAAUUCGAAGAUACGCGAAGAACCUUACCCGGACUUGAUAUCUAACAAAUCAUCUAGAGAUAGAAGAGUGUCUGCUUGCAGAAAUGUUAAGACAGGUGCUGCACGGCUGUCGUCAGCUCGUGUCGUGAGAUGUUGGGUUAAGUCCCGCAACGAGCGCAACCCACGUCAUUAGUUGCUAACGGUUCGGCCGAGCACUCUAAUGAGACUGCCUUCGCAAGGAGGAGGAAGGUGUGGACGACGUCAAGUCAUCAUGGCCCUUAUGUCCGGGGCGACACACGUGCUACAAUGGCAUAUACAAUGAGACGCAAUAUCGCGAGAUGGAGCAAAUCUAUAAAAUAUGUCCCAGUUCGGAUUGGAGUCUGCAACUCGACUCCAUGAAGCCGGAAUCGCUAGUAAUCGUAGAUCAGCCAUGCUACGGUGAAUACGUUCCCGGGUCUUGUACUCACCGCCCGUCACACCAUGGGAGUUGAUUUCACUCGAAGCCCAAAU